rnacentral:misc_RNA from 1 species
UUCAGCCCCAUGUUCCUGCACCCUGUAAAAAAAAAAACAAUAAUUUCUUUCUUUUGGCAAAAUCAUCAUCUUCAACAAAAAUAACUGACAUGUAACAUCAAAGGUAGAUGAUGAUUUGGGUAUUGCACUGUCAAGACACUAUUUCAUCAAAUGAACAAACAAAAUACAAGGAGAUGAUAUGCAUAAAAGUGGAGCUUUUGCUAAAGUCCACGCACUAUGUUAAGAUCCAUGCAUCCCUACAAGUAUGUAUUGAAUUAUAUGAUAAAAAAAGGGUGAACAUUAAGGAGGAUAGAUGGCCACAGACAAGUAACAUAAGGAGAGGGAACAGAGUUAAUAAAAGACAAACUCAAAAAAUGCAGAAUAGUAAAUAUGAAGUAAAACAAAAAUAAAAAAGUUCAAAAAUACCAAGCAUGAAUCUUGGGCAAGAACUUGUUCUUUUU